GGAAGUAAAAGUCGUAUCAAGGUUUCCGUAGGUGAACCUGCGGAAGGAUCAUUAUUGAAUGAAACACUUCUGGCUUUAUGCUGUUGUGCUGGCCCUUUGGGCAAUGUGCACACGGCUCUGGUCACUUGUUUCUUCUGUUCCACCUGUGCACUGCCUGUAGACACGCUGUGUCUAUGAUAUUUGUUAACACACAACAAUGUUAGUUGGCAUGUUAUAUAUAAUAAUAAAAUAUACAACUUUCAACAACGGAUCUCUUGGCUCUC
rnacentral:misc_RNA from 1 species